rnacentral:sRNA from 1 species
AAGUGAUAAUCACCUCGCCAUUGACCACGGAUGUACUGGCACUGGCGAAGGUCACGAGGAAGGUCGGGUCUGCCCCGGCCUUUUUUGUU